rnacentral:rRNA from 1 species
AUGCAAUGGCCCUAUGUCAGAAAUCUUUUGUUGAAUAAGUUACCUUCCAUGUCAAAUCACGGAGCGAAUGGUAAUGCUCAGCAACUCUCUUUUGGAACUCAACUCUUUCGUAUCUCUCACCCCCAUAGCCUCCUCUUUCGGCCGCUUUCUGAAACAGCAAAUUCACAUGUACCAUUAAGAAUUUCGGAUAACCUGAGUAAACAACUGCAGAGAAGGGUACUUUUUGCUACAGAUUCUGGGUCUGCAAAGAAUUUGCUCAACUACAGAUUUUUCAUGUUUCCUACCUUAAGCAGAAUGACAUACAAUUGA